UACGUAGGGGUGCAAGCGUUAAUCGGAAUUAUUGGGCGUAAAGAGCUCGUAGGCGGCCUGUUGCGUCCGCUGUGAAAGCCCGGGGCUUAACCCCGGGUCUGCAGUGGAUACGGGCAGGCUAGAGGUAGGUAGGGGAGAAUGGAAUUCCCGGUGUAGCGGUGAAAUGCGCAGAUAUCGGGAGGAACACCGGUGGCGAAGGCGGUUCUCUGGGCCUUACCUGACGCUGAGGAGUGAAAGCGUGGGGAGCGAACAGG
rnacentral:rRNA from 1 species